GGGAGCCUUCAGCACGGAAUCCCAUAUGCUGCCAGUUAGAAGUUAAGCUAGAGUCCACAAAUGCGUGUUUGCACCUCCGCCUCGGGGCCGCAGGAACCUGGACUCAGGGACUAUUUAGACAACACUGAGUUGGAGAAUGGAUUGUGGCUAGCUGGACACUGGGCCCUCCGCUGGCACUGUGGUCACUGCUGGCCCCAGUGCCACCAAUGCCACAGGACACUGGAUGCCAUAGCCACCAACUCCACCAGAAGGAGUUCCGAUUAUGUUGUUCAGUCUGGAUUUAGAAGUCUCAGGAUGAAGGGGAGAUGGGAGACUAGAAAACAGAAAUUGCUCAAAAAGGAAUUGAGCCCUUUGGAUGGGAAACAGGAACUCCGGUGGAAUGCAGGAGGAAGGAUUGAGCAAGAGAGAAGCAGCUGCCAACCUAUCCGAAUGAAAACAAACACCUUGAACACGACAGUGGACUUGAAAUGUUACUAAACUUUUUGGCAGGUUUCUCCCCACUAACAAGCCCGACGCAGGAAUACAAGAAAAGAAU
rnacentral:lncRNA from 1 species